rnacentral:snoRNA from 1 species
UCAUCACGUAGAGGUGAUUACUAACUUGAGUUCUACGGAACUUGAGGACAUGAUGACAUGGGGUAGAUGAUCACUGAUUAGUUCCCCGGGGGCAGGUUUUAACGACGACCUGUCCUCAUGUCUGAC